AAUGUACAAAUGAUGAAUUCAUAGUUCAACUGACUUAGAAUGAAGUUACUUAAAUAUCUUUCGCCCCUAUCUGAUAACUCC